AAAUAAAGCAUCCCAGAGCUUGCUAGAGAGGCACAGGAAGUUGCCAGGAGUGAAAGAGGGGGUGUGAACUGCAAAUGCUAAAGCUUCCGCCUAACAAAAGAGGAUAGCAUUUCCGGUCACGCCAUCGUCGCUGCCUUCUUCGUCAAGAUUAGGAUUCAUAAGGAAGACUAAGAGGUAAGCCACCAAUUAAAAAGUAUACUUGCAUGAAAUGUGAUAGACAUG
rnacentral:lncRNA from 1 species